rnacentral:snRNA from 1 species
GGCUCGGGGGUCCCAGUUCCGAAC